UACAGAGGGUGCAAGCGUUAAUCGGAAUUACUGGGCGUAAAGCGUGCGUAGACGGUUGCGUAAGUCAGAUGUGAAAGCCCCGGGCUCAACCUGGGAAUUGCAUUUGAGACUGCGUAGCUAGGGUGCGGAAGAGGGAAGCGGAAUUUCCGGUGUAGCGGUGAAAUGCGUAGAGAUGUGGAGGAACACCAAUGGCGAAGGCAGCCUCCUGGGCCAAUACUGACACUCAUGCACGAAAGCGUGGGGAGCAAACAGG
rnacentral:rRNA from 1 species